CCUACGGGAGGCAGCAGUGAAGAAGUAUUUCGGUAUGUAAAGCUCUAUCAGCAGGGAAGAAGAUGACGGUACCUGAGUAAGAAGCCCCGGCUAACUACGUGCCAGCAGCCGCGGUAAUACGUAGGGGGCAAGCGUUAUCCGGAUUUACUGGGUGUAAAGGGAGCGUAGACGGUGAGACAAGUCUGAAGUGAAAGCCCGGGGCUCAACCCCGGGACUGCUUUGGAAACUGCCUGACUGGAGUGCUGGAGAGGCAAGCGGAAUUCCUAGUGUAGCGGUGAAAUGCGUAGAUAUUAGGAAGAACACCAGUGGCGAAGGCGGCUUGCUGGACAGUAACUGACGUUGAGGCUCGAAAGCGUGGGGAGCAAACAGGAUUAGAUACCCUUGUAGUC
rnacentral:rRNA from 1 species